rnacentral:lncRNA from 1 species
UUCCUGAUCCUAGUGCCACUGUUCCCAUGUAAAUAGCUGGUGUUUCCAAGCCUGCUGCAUUCCCCUGCCCUUCUCUGUUUGUCUCUGUAAAUAGCAAUGCCAGAGCAUGUCCAGGGCACAAAGAGUGGCUUGAGCAAGAGUUCCCAGCAACAACGGAUCACACUGGGAGCUCUGAGCGUGUUUGGAAGCAGCAUUUUUGAAAGUUUCCUGGGAUCUUAUUGUCCUCAUCUGCCCUUCUUUUUUAAGAAUAUCUUCUGUGCUGAUGAGCAGUGGUACAGCCAAGGCAUGAGAGCAGCUCACGGAAUGUGAAGCCCCCCUCCUCCGAGGGCAGAGAACAGGGCAUAGAACUUAUUUCAUAUCUUUUCAGCCACAUUUUCAAGGUGCUCUAGGAGCAAUGAGGACCAACUGGGAGGGAUUAGCGAGGGCCAGGGUUCCAGCUUGGACUUUCAAAGGGACUUUUGAACAGAGUUCAAAAUGAGGAAGAGCAUAUAUUUAAGUCUCAGAAGUGCCUGGGAGUGUCUGGAUGAAAGACUUGAGUGGUAACAAGCCAAUUCAUAAAAAAGCCAAAGUCUUUCACAGUUAGCAGCUUUCCUUGAGCUUUCAGCAGGACCCUUACUGCAACGAAUAUUUUUGCCAUAAGGGGACGUGAGCAAGUAGCUGGCUUCCUCACCCAGGACUUGCAACUCUCAAGAUCUAGACCCUCUCCUGCAGUAUGAGCUCAAAUCCCGGGCCUCCCCCCUUUUCUAACUGCUGCCAUCUCUCCUUGGUUUGAAAACUACUUACAAGGAGGAGAAAUACGUUUAUG